UUGCAAUGAUGACCAUCUUAGGACACCUUUGGAGUAGUCAUGAAAACAAUUAUGAUGUUCUGAGCUUC